rnacentral:rRNA from 1 species
CCGAAAGGCAGGAGUGCCUGCAAGGGAGCGCGGAGACAGGUGGUGCAUGGCUGUCGUCAGCUCGUGUCGUGAGAUGUUGGGUUAAGUCCCGCAACGAGCGCAACCCUCACCUCUUGUUGCCAUCAGGUCAUGCUGGGCACUCUAGAGGAACUGCCCCGGUCAACGGGGGGGAAGGCGGGGAUGACGUCAAGUCAUCAUGCCCCUUACGUCCUGGGCUACACACGUGCUACAAUGGCCGGUACAAAGGGAUGCCACACCGCGAGGUAGAGCUAAACCCAAAAAGCCGGUCUAAGUUCGGAUUGGAGACUGCAACUCGACUCCAUGAAGGAGGAAUCGCUAGUAAUCGCGUAUCAGCACGACGCGGUGAAUACGUUCCCGGGCCUUGUACACACCGCCCGUCACACCACGAAAGCCAG